rnacentral:rRNA from 1 species
CCUACGGGAGGCAGCAGUAGGGAAUCUUCCGCAAUGGACGAAAGUCUGACGGAGCAACGCCGCGUGAGCGAAGAAGGCCUUCGGGUCGUAAAGCUCUGUUGUCAGGGAAGAACAAGUACCGGAGUAACUGCCGGUACCUUGACGGUACCUGACGAGAAAGCCACGGCUAACUACGUGCCGAGCAACCCGCGGUA